CUCACUGUCGGAGGAUCUUGCUUGCUCCCCUCCCCAUCUCUCUUCUCUCCCAGUCCUCGUUGAAGCCGCCGCUCUCCCCCUCCAAAACCCUAGCCCUAGCUACUCGCUAGAACCGCCACCACGCCCUCCAUCGGAUCCGGGCGCCAUAGCGCCGGGAACAUCCAACUCUGUAGCCGAAACCCCACCCCACCGCCCUCGUGGAUCCAUCACCAAGCCGACACAUCUCUACACCUCGCCACCGGACCUAGAGCAAGCGAAUGGCGAGGAGCCAGACAGAUCUGCGGCGACCUUGGCUGCCGAUACGGGUCGGCGGCACGAGAAUCUCCGAUGCCAACCUCAGUUCGGAUCCCUCUUACCUUUUUCCUCUUUGCUCCUGUUGUCUUCCGCUUUUCUUCAUUUUGUUUUUGCGGAUUCGGUAGUGUGCCCCCCGUUAUGUUGUUUAUUUUUGGAAGAUCACCCGGUUUUGGUGCGGAUCCUUGAUGAUCUGAGGCCCUGGAUCUAUGCACUAGGGUUUCAGCCUGAUUUAUGAACUGAGUACUUGAUUAAUUUGUUUUUUUUCCUCAUGGGGGGUAUUCUGAUCUGCCAGCCUGAUGAUUAGCAUUGUUUGCACAAGAACGGAGAUCUGAUUGAGCUUCCUCGUCGUAGCCCGCUUGACUGCUGUGGUGGUUCAUGGCAGGCAGGCAGGCAGGCUCGAGCUCGGCUCGUUGACAGAUUUACCACUCCCACUGUUGUGCUAUGUUUUUGCACAUGCAGACAUAGCACGGCGAAGAAGGGGUGAAUCUGCCAACAAAUGCAUGGAGCAUUAAUUUUCCUAUGGCUCUGUUUAGUUCCCAAAAAUUUUCCUACAUACAUACAUAUAUACAUAUCUCCUCUUCUGCUCUUCUGCAAUUCCACUGAGCAGGCUGAGUGGGCUCCGAGGAAUGCGUAUGUAGAUGCAAAAGUUAUGAAGGCUAUUGCAGGUUGGAAGAAUGCCCUUGUGUUAAAUUGUUUAAUGAGUUCAUCACUAGUGCAAAAGUUGUUUUGACUUUGAAGUACUGCAAUGAAGCCAUGCUGCUUUUGAUUUGGUUGGUGUCGUGCUAAUGGUUUUGCGAUAUCUUACUGGACUGAUAUUUGAGUUGCAAACUUGCAAUAUUUCACCCUAUGGGCAACAUAGGCAGUUGAUGAGAAACAAAGGCAAUUGCAUCUGCAGUGCUCCUGAUUCAUAGGGGCUUAAUGGCAUGAUGACUCUGUCUAGGGGAAUCUCUGAUGCUAAUUAAGCUAAUUCCAGUAAUAUAGCUUAUGGAGUGUGUGAGUUUGAUUCCUGUUACACCAUGCUAGUAAUAGGUGUCUCUUUUAUCAGAUAAUGCAAAUUUUUCUUUAUUUAAUAAAAGUUUCUGAUCUCUUGUUGCAAGAUAAGAUAUGCGUUUUUGCAAUGUGGAUUACCAUGAUCUGUCAACCUGGGGGAGCAGAGAUCUAAAUCCCAUGUCCAUGGAAGCUUCUUAGUAGCUGUGCUGGAUCGUAAAUUCCCUCUGUUCUUAAUAUUCAAACUGAUUCAUAAAUGUUUAAUCAUCUCUGGUUCUGUUUCUCAAAGCAGGCUAAGUAGACUCUAGGAAAUUUUAUAUAGAUGCAAACAUUACAAAAGGUUUGGCAGAUUGGAAAAAUGCCUCUACUAGAUUAUUGUUACCGAUUUAACAAGUUCUUGGUUGCUACAAACUUGUUUCUGUGAUACUUGUUACUCUCACUCUGCUCACAAUCUGAAGGCUAAUUUGCUUUGUACUGGUACUUUUCUUUUUGAUUUGCCACAUGGGCUGAAAAUGAGCUUGGAUGAUUAUUUUCUAGAAUAUGGCCGUCUUGUUGUGGAAACUUGGGUAGUAUGCAAGUUGCAUAUUACAUCAUUUCAUUACACAAGAAAGCCUGGCAGAUGAUGAUGAGAAAGACAAAGACAUCUGCAGUGUUCCUUUAACUUCAGGACACAAUAGCAUGAUGACUCCGUCUAGGGGAAUCUCUGAUGCCGAUCUAUGUUUUGGUGCCUUAUUUGCUUGGAAGCUUCUGUAUUUUUGCAUGGCUUUAAGUGCUCAUUGGAGGAAUCAUGACUUGUUUGCGGUUUGCAAUAAUUCACCAUUUCAAAUUUGUUGGUGAUGAGAAGACAAGACCUUUUUUAGUGUCCCUGGUGAUACAAUUGCUCUAUGUGUCCCUUAUGAAGCUGCUGAUCAACUUACUACUCCUUUCCAAACCUUUUAUCUUCUUUUAUAUCUGAUAUUGAUUUGGAUUACCAGGGAUAUAUGUCUCUUAUAGCUUAAUAAUCAAAUUGUUUGCGGUAAGAAUGGGUAUCUGAGUGCGCAUUUACAUUGUAGCCUGUCUUGUUGCUGCGGUGGAUCAGUAGUGGUGCAGUAGUGGUACAUAUUCCCUCCUUGUCACUAUAUGUUUUUUUUACUCGGAUCAUGUUUGACUUGCGGUUUUGUUUGAAGAUUCCUCAGUGAUCGGCACCCUAACGAUUAUUUUAUUUUUCUGUUUAGCAUUAAGAAUUAAGAUGUAACGAUUAGCUAGGUGGAUGAUUUUUAAACCAUAGAUUUGUUUAAGCAUGUUCUAGAAAUCGCCAUAUUCGAAAUCUGCAGUUUGCAUCCUACAUAUAUUCCAGUUUCAAUGUUUGUUUUCGGGACAUACUGAUUUGCCAGCCUGAUGAUUCCCUCUGCACUAAUAGUGGAGAUCGGAAUACACUUGAUCAUUGAAGCUGGCUUGGCCGCUGUGGUGGAUCAUAUACUCCCUCUGUUCCAAUUAUAAGUCCAUCCAUCCAUCCAUCCAUCCAUCAUAAGCCAGUCUGAUUUUCUUCCACCAAGCUGGCCAAAUUGGCUCUGGUUAAGAUGUGUGUAGAUAAAAAGAAAUAUGAAGGCUUUGGCAGACACGUAUUUGGUGUAUACUACCAGUGCAUUAUGUGCAUUUGGAAGAUUAUUUGUGCAGAACUGCCAUGCAUAGUCCCUUUAAAAUGUUCUGAUUUUGAUUUUAUUAUGGGUGCAUGAUGUACCAGCCUGAUGAUUACAGGUAAUUUCCACUAAGAAUGAAUAUCUGAAUGCAUUUCUCCUAUUGAAGGCUGCUUAGCCCCUCUGGUUGAUGGUCUGCUAUUGCUGCUGCUGCUGCUAUUACUAUAACCAGAAGGGACUCAUGUCUUCCUACCCGAUAACGUAUUGACUGUUACCACCGCUUAGGUGUUACCGUAUCACCAAAUUUAAUACAUCUACAUCGGUGCAUCAAAAAAUCAUCCAAAAAAUAUGGAUGGAUAGAGCACACUAACAUCUACCCUCAUGCAAAGUUUGAGGUUGAAGAAGAAUUUGUGCAAGAAGGGGAAAAAAAACACUAGCACUUGUCCAUGAACAGUUGAACUCGCAACUAUUCAAGUGCUAGUUUCUCUUUUUUCUUCUUGCACAAGUGUUUUUUCAACUAACUUUGCAUGAUGGUAGAUGUUUGCCUGCUCUAUCCAUUCAUAUGUUUGGAUGAACUUUUGAUGCACUGAUAUAGAUGUUAUUAAAUUUGGUAAUAUAUGGUAAUACCUAAAGAGGUGGUGACACUGGAUACGUUCUCCUUCCUACCUUCCUCUCUCUGUCAUCCCUGUGUGUGAUUCUAUCAACCAAGCUGGCUAAGUGAGCUCCUUGGAAUGCCUAUGUAGUCUCGAUGGUGUUAUGAAGGCUUGGCCAAUAUAAGAAUGCUCUUAUUGAACAAUUUUGUUUUAUAACAAGUAAUUUCUCUCUAUAGGCUUGGUGGUUCUCUUCCAUUUUCCAAACAGCUUUUUGAAAACUGCAUCGCAAUUAAUCUCUUUUGUGUUUUUUCCUUUUGAGGUUAUAAAGAAAAUGGUGGAGCUUUUGUCCAAUUUGUGAUCCAUCUGACCAGCUGUUGGAAUUAUGAAGAUUUUCAGGUUUUUGGUCUGAUUUAUAUGCCACUUAGAAUUUAUUGAAGUGAACCGGCGAAUCAGCGAUGUGGUAUGACAACUUAGUCAGGUGAUCUGCUUUUGACGAGAACUGAACCUAAAGUGAUGACCAUUUAUUUAAUAGAAUAGAAUAGAUUGGUGGAUACUUGUUAAAUUACGGAUGUAGCUAGGGCUAGUAUAACCAAGUUAUGCAGGGGCGUUUUAUAGUGCCACAGCCAAUGUUUUAUAAUGCAUGCUAAGCUUAAAUUUUAGCCUAAUUUGCUUGCUUUAUAGUACCGCCCUUCCUGAAAUUGAGCACAAGCUCUGCUGCUGAUGUUCUAGAAACUAGCAUACAUCUGUCCGUUUCUGCAAUGAGAGUGUAGAUCUGGAUACGCUUGUUCGCUGACCUCUGGUGGAUCAUAUAUUUCAUCUAAUCAGAAAUUUAAGUAUGUACAUCCAUCUGCAUAAAUGUCAGCCUGAUUUUUCCAUCAGGCUGUCUAAGUGGACUCCGACAAGAGUUUGUAGAUUAACAAGGCUUUGGCAUGUGCAUAACAAGUCCCUCUAGUACCAUUGCAUAAUGAGUUUGUAGAUUAACAAAGCUUUGGCAUGUGCAUAACACGUCCCUCUAGUACCAUUGCUUAAUGCUCUCAAAGGAAAAUAAUUUCACUACCAUAAUUCAGCUUGUAUAAAUGCUUUGCUUAAUGCUCUCAAAGGAAAAUAAUUUCACUACCAUAAUUCAGCUUGUAUAAAUGCUGAUGUGUAGUGCCUAAGGUUGUUAGCUCAGUUGGUCUGGGCGCAGCCAGCGGCACCCGCAGGUGGGGGGUUCGAACCCCCACCAGGGCGGAUUUCCCCCGCUUGCGGGAAAAAAACCCCCUCGCUGUGCUCUUGAUGACUUGGGCUCUGUAGUCAGCCUGGGCCGGGCCCGGUAGGUAACGGUCCCAAGAACGUGGCACCAGACCCAGUGGGCUGAGUUGCCAGCUUGGGCUCGGCCCGUUGGGUAACCGUCCCAGGAACGUGGCACCAGACCCAAGCUCAAGAGCCAGGGUUCGGGGGGUUUUUCGGCAGGGGUCAACUUGGCCUCUUCUUAAUUGAAUGCCGCGGGGGCGGUCUUUCCCGCCCGGUCGAGUUUUUUGUUUUGUUUCAUUUGUAAGUGUCCCAAUGUUUUGUUUUUGUUAUUGGGGCAGGCAUUCUGGUAUACCAGCCUGAUGAUUAUGAUGUUUGCAUUAAGAACGGAGAUCGGAAUGCACUUUGCACGUUGAAGCCUGCUUGGCCAUGCAGCUGCUAGUGCUACUACUGCCUUCUUGGCCCUCGGCUCUUUCUGCCUGUCUCUCUUGCUGCUGCGCUGGUGGUGGCUGGCUGGCUGGCUGCUUGUGUGUGUGUGGAUGUGUGUGAUUCUUCAUCAAGCAAGCUGGCCAAGUGAGCUCCGUGGAAUGUCUAUGUAGAUGCAAAGAUUAUGAUGGCUCUACAGAUGCCAAGAAUGCCCCCCCCCCCCCCAACACACUUUUCUUUAGAGGCUUCGCCUUUUACUGUUCUGUUUUUUUUGUGGUCCUAUUUGGCAAUCGCUCUUUUUUUUCCCAUUACCUGCAACGUGAUUGACUUCUGUUUUCGGAAUUUCUUUUUGGGUUAUUAAGCAAAUGGGCCUGUGAAUGGUUUUAUUAUUGCACAUGCUAUCAUCCUGGUUACUCCUGGGAAUGGAUUGGGCUAAAUCCAAAUCCAAUUGGAUUUUGGCCCAUGAAUUCUAUUGGAUAUGGAUAUCCAUUGCAUUAGGUCAAUUAGGAUUGGAUCUUAUUGGAUAAAAAAAGAGAGAAUAAUCCAUAUGCUGCGAGGGGGAGCACGCACAUCUCCCCCGCAGCCGCCGCGCCGCACGCACCUCCUCUCCGCGUCUCGGCAGUUGCCGCCGCGCCGCACGCACAUUCUCUCCGGGUCCCUCCCGCCGCCGCGCUGCACGCACAUCCUCUCACGGGUUCCGGCCGCCGCUGCCGCGCCGCACGCAAAUCUCUCCCGAGCCCCAGCCGCCGCCGCGCGCAUCUCUCUCCCGGCCUCCACGCCUCUUGUUGCCUGCAAGGCAGCCGGCCUCGACGCAGCAAGGCUUCCAAGAUCCGGAUGCGGCAAGGUACCUGGCCAAAAGGUACCUGCUGGCCGAGAUCCGGAAGCAGCGGCAAGGCGCCCGGCUACCCUCCGCGUCCUUCUGUGUCUCUUGCUUCACCACUGGACACAGCACUAGUCAACUGGGAGGAUGUCUAAUAGCGAAAGUGUGGCAUUACUUCCUAAAAGUGCCGGCGAAGCUGCACAAAAUUCCAAUCGCAGUUGCAGCAGGAAGAGGUCUGCAGUUUGGCAAUAUUUUGAAGAGUUACCUGAUGAAGGAAAGGCAAUAUGCAUUCAUUGCGGUUCAAAAUUUGCUUAUCACAAAGGUAUUGGAAUAUCUCACCUACAGAACCAUAUUAGGACAUCCUGCAAAGAACUUCCUCCAGAUAUUGAUCGUAAUUCCAUUUUUCCAAAAAGUGUGUCUAGUUUGGAUGUUCGCAAUUUUGUACUAGAUCCUAAGUUAGUGAGAGAUUUUAUGACUAAGUUUUGGAUCACUGGAAAUAUUGCCUUUAGAAAGAUAGAAAAUGGUUUUUUCAAGAGAAUGAUGAGGUCAGCCCAUCCAAACCUUGAAGUCCAUGGCAGGCAGACACUCAAGAAUGAUUGCAUGUCAGUUUAUCGAGAAGAGAGAAAAAAGAUUAUGAAUGGUUUUGCCAAUACAGAUUCUUGUGUUAGCUUCACCUCGGAUAUGUGGACAUCUAUCCAAAAUCUUGGAUACAUUUGUUUGACUGCACAUUAUAUAGAUGGAGAUUUUAAUU